rnacentral:rRNA from 1 species
UACAGAGGGGCGAAGCGUUAUUCGGAAUUAUUGGGCGUAAAGGGCGCGUAGGCGGCCUGGCAAGUGGAAGGUGAAAUCCCUCGGCUUAACCGAGGAACUGCCCUCCAAACUGCUUGGCUUGAGACCGGGAGAGGUGAGUGGAAUUCCCAGUGUAGCGGUGAAAUGCGUAGAUAUCGUAAGGAAGACCAGUGGCGAAGGCGGGUCUCUGGACAGUUCCUGACACUGAGGCACGAAGGCCAGGGGAGCAAACGGG